rnacentral:tRNA from 1 species
GCUCCUAUAGCUCAGAUGGAUAGAGCGGUGCCCUCCUAAGGCAUAGACUCAGGUUCGACUCCUGAUGGGAGCA